GUGAAUUAUCUAAAAGCAUACACAGACUUUCAUGCACAUCGCCUGAAAUUCAUCUCUUAGGGUCUGUGCUUUCUGCAUCCUUGUAUUGUGGGUGCAGUUCCUCCGUCCACCCGCAUGGAGGCGCCGCAGGCUUCUCCUGACAGCAGCAGUGAGGAGUGUACUGUACUAGAGGCUCUGCCUGGCAAGGGAACUGCACUCAUUUGCUCUCAACACAAAGGAAAAGUGUCUGCGCUGUACUGUUUGGUGUGUGAGAACGCAGUCUGUGAAGACUGUAUGAACGGAGAACACGCUGAACAUCCCAC